CGAGUCGCCGUCGUGAACGUGCGAAAUUCGAUUUUUUUCAUGUAUAUCGUGAACUGUGUACUGUGUCCAAAAAAUAUUGUAAGACAGGAAUAAGUUAUUAUAAGAAAAAAAGUGUUGAUUUGUGCCUGUAAAAAAGGAUGACUGACCAUCGAUAUCUCCAACGGUUCAGGGUCAAAUCGUUCUUAUUCUGAUAGUCCUCAGCCGCGACCACUUCAGGCUCGAAAAAUCACGAGUUGAAACUGCAAAAUGCUGUUCUUGGGGAAAUAGCGUUUCGAAACAUUCAACGUUGCGGCCUGUCAAGUCUUUAAGAGCGAUGCUUACAAGGACGUCUUAUCCAACAAUAUUACAAAAAGUCGAGAACUUUGAAGCGACAACUUCGCAACACAUUAACUGUUCUUGUUAUGCUUAUAAUUGCAGCGUUUUGAAAAACGAUGAUCUAGAAUUUUAAUCUGAAGACAUUGUCAAAACCUUCCCUGGUGAGAUCCCCGAAACUUAUUAUAUGGAACCUGUUGAGAAGGAACUGUCGCGAAAUAAUAAGUCAGUUGAACGAUGCACUAAUCAGGCUCCGUGUUAAUUGGCCGUGGAACGUUGGAAGACAACUUUUAAAUUUCAACAAGAACAGAUGCGCAAAGUCUCAGACAAAAUUGUUAACGCUAUCGGAGCAUGACCAAUUUUGAAAAAUUCCAGUGGCUAUUCUUUGAUUGAUGAAGAUUUUGCUGCUUCGAACUCCAAAUCGUUUGCCCAUUAAAAAAUAGUGCAGUCACGGACGAGUUGACUUUUACAGCGAGAUGACGAGCAGAAAGUGCCUGCUCAAAUAUCGUUGAUGCCAUUCCUCAUUCCCCCGAAGGGGAUGGUCAAGACAAAGACUCGAAACUGUAAACCGUCAAUAAUUAAGUCAAAAGGCAGUUUCAUUUUGCACACGCCACGGUUGGUUCACUUUCAGC